AAAACAAGCAGAGGCAGGAGGAAAACAUACUGUUCUUUGCAAUCUGAUCACCUCCGUGCAAGCCUCUGGGUUACACACCCGGGGACGCUGGGGCCCAGAGGCGUAGAUUAGCCCAGGCAGGAAAACCGAGCGUGGUGACUGGUCCUGCGCAGAUUAGAAACACAUUGUUGGAGAAGGGGGGUCGGGGGCGAGACUGUGCACGGCAGCAUGGCUGGAGUCUGGGUGUGGGGCCCCGGCGAGCGGGCCGGGCGCGGAGGGGGCAGAAGAAGGAGUGCGGAUAAUGCUCUGUUUGUGAGCUGAGAUUCCAGCUCCUGGGGUGGCCCCUGGCAGCUGCCUAGGCCUCACAGGGAGAAAUCGGGAACAACAAAGGCGCUGGGACAAAAGCGGCUCUGGCCAGAGGGGCUGCGGGCUCUGUGGGGCCAACAGCACUUCAGUUCUGAGGGGCACGGCUCCACCCUGGUAUGAGGCUGGAGGCGGACUGUCAAAUGGAGCUUACCGAGGAAAGGGAACUCAAGUUUUCUGGGUUACUGACACCGAGUUGUCCCAAACCACAUCAGUGCCUGUUGAAAUGUUAACUAUCCGCCAGCUGGGAAUUUUGUCACUGGGAAACCGGUAUAGCAAGCGCCCGUUAGCUUCCCGCCCAGGCAAGGACAUUGAGGGGUGUGAAGACCAAAGUAUGUCUUCCUGUCUUUGCUUCUGAGCUGACACUCGAGAAACUGUGAGACCCACAGCCCCUCAAAUCCCCCUUCUUCUGCCGGCUCCUCAUACCUGCUGAGCAAUCAUGAAAAUUCUCCCGCAGCCUGUACUCUAGCGCCCCCUGCUGGGAAUGACUGCUAACUCGUGGCUGAUUUGGCUGGGAAUCUGGCUGAUAGCAGCUAGGUUAACGUCGCCUCGCCCAGCUUUAUGAGGCCCACCUGGCCUUUCGCUCGGCCAACCUGUGAAUCCCAGGCUGCCGAAAUGGAGCAGGUGAACUUAACCACUACGCCGCUGGGCCAGCCUGGAAUCUGUGCUUUUAAGACUCUGAUGAUAAGCACGUUUGGCAAGAACUGAACUAGACACCUGGUCCACAGGCCUCUGUGUUCCAUAGUCUGGCCUCUCCAGGGGAGGAAGAGUCGGUUAGUUUAGCUCAAAACAGGGCUGGGAAUGGAAGGCGACUGAACCCCGGAAGACGGAAGUCGGCAAGAAGCUAUGAAGGCGCAGAAGCUAUUUGAAUUCUGGCCCGGGGAAGAGCAUUGCAGUCUGAGCCCUCCCGGGUGGGGCUCUCCGUGGCCAGCUCACAGCUGCCGGCAGAAGACCCCUUCUCGUGAUAAAAUAAGCGAAGAGUAGGUGUAUAUUUGUCUUCUGAGUUCUCAGCAAGAUCUGGAUGGAGCUGAUUCAGGUCACUUUCAGGGAGACCUAGUGUGCGUGUCUAGCCUGGUACUUGGCUUGACUCCUGUCAUCAUUCCUCCUUGGGACCAGGGCCUGGCCCUCACAUCCCAGCUCCGGUUGGGUUUCCAGCCUGUGUAGGCACAUCUUCCGGUAUCAGCUUCUGGCUACCUGGUACCCACAGGCUCCUAGACUUUGACUUGCUCCUCCACCUACCCACCUGCUCCGGCACUGAGACAGAAAUGGCCGUGCUACCCGUGAAGCUGCUCCUGGAGCACCCAGCUGCCCUUCUAGGACCAGUCUAGAACCAAGGUGGGUCAUUCCUGUUGCCCUCUUUAUUCACAAGGGAUCAGGCAGCUGCUUGGUCCAGGCAGACCUCUCCCCUCCUCCGAGCUCUGGAAUUCCUAUUCUUAAUUCCUGAACCACCUCACGCCACCACGCCAUUUGUGCGUUGUAAAUACUUGGUGACAAACUAUGACUGUUGUGGAGUUUGGAGAUAAAAGGAAAAGCAGUUGCAUUACGGUGGAGGUGACUGCCUAGAUGGGCCCUAUAAAACUGAUGUGGUACUCGACUUCUUACUGCUUUGUAUGGAAUGACAAGAUACAUUGAAUGUGUUAUAGGAAAUAUCUAGGAAGACACUAAUCUUUUCCAAAAUCCAAGUCAACUCUGAGUCUUCAACAAUGCUUCCAGCUUCUACAUUAAUUCAAACAAUCCAGAUAUGUGGAACGUGUAACAUAAAGCCAUAGCCUCUUUCUGGAAUCACUUCUAUGAUUUUCUCAUCUAAGAUAUUCUUUAUGGGCAGCAAACUCACAUUGACAACUUAUGGAUAGUUUGAAUUCCUUCCAUCAUUUUUCCACACCAACAAAAUGACCGAUACGGAUCAGCUUGGAAAAGCAGUCUGGGAAGACUUCUAAUGUAAAAACUCCAAGUAAAGGUUUUAGAAUACAAUCCAUGGUAGCAGGUCAGCUGUUUAUAUUGUUCAGGCUUGCAGUGCCGAAUCAGAAUCUGAGGAUGCAUCUGAGAUGACAUCAGUCCUAUCUCAUAUGCCAACUCUGAUCUAUGUUUAAUGGUUUCCUAGAGCACUAUGUGAAAAGAAGUGGGGAGGCCCAGUCUGGGCUGAGUAAAAAGAGAAUGCAAUGAUCGAUUAGUGAUGUCGGCCAUGGCAGGACAGCAUGGUAGUUAACAGCAUGGGCGUUGUCAUCAGAGAAACAGAAGUUCAAGUUCUGUCUCUGCCACUUAUUAGCAGGGUAACCUUGGGCAAGUUACCUAAUCACUUUCAGGCUUGUUUCUCAUCAAUAUAAUGCAGGUAGAUUAUAGCACCUACUUCACAGGGUUCUUAUGGGGAUUAGUUGAGAUAAUUCAUGCCAAGUGCUUAGCAACGUAUCUGGCACAGAGUUCUCAAUAAAUAUUAGCUAUUAUUAUCAUAAAUAUCAUGGGCCCAGGAGUAAGGUGAGGCCGCUUGUGCUCAGCAUAUCUGCCAUCCCAGGUUGAGGCUUAGAUGAAUCCUUGUAGAGACUUGUGACUGAGACACCUUUCAAAGGCGGUUAUAGAGGUUGUGGGAAUUUUGUUCCUAGGAUAUUAGCAAAAAGUUUUCAGUAGAUGUUGGUAUUAAGUUUCAUUCUAUAGAUACAUCUUUUUUCCUGCAUAAAUAUCAAGUGGUAUCUCAGGCUCAUCCACCAGCACAGACCCUCAUUGUAGGUAAGUGCAGGUCUGAUCUGACUUUCUAAUUGGAUCCUAAUUGUUUACACGACAAAAGAAAAUUCCUCAUUGUCCUUGGCAUGGCUUAAAAAGAUUUACUCCUGCCUGACUUCCCAGCCCCGUCUUCUGCUUCUCUCCAAUAAGUCCCCUGAGCUCUAGCUGUACUGAACCACUUAUUUCCAAAAUUCAUUGUAUUCUUGCCUAACUUUGUGCCUUUGCACAUGCUGUUCCUGCCUAGGAUGCUGUUCCCCACGUUGUCUGUCUAUACAUUAUUCUCUGGAAUAGUUUACACAGGAUUGGGAUUAUAUUUGGUAGAACUUUCCAGUGAGGCAAGCCAGGACUAGGGUUUCCUUUGUAGGAAGACUUUUUUAUUAGAGAUUUAAUUUCUUUAUUGGCUAACAAUCGCUCAGGUUUUAUAUAUGUUCUUGAAUCAAUUCUGGUAACCUACAGCUUUUUUUUUUUUUAUAAUGAAUCAACUUUGCUGUUUAUCUCAUGACCAUAAUACUAUCAAAAUAUCUGGGGGAAAUUUUUCAAGAAAAAUUGGAAAAUUUUAAGUGCAAUAUAAAUUUGUGUUUAACUGAGAAAGCUCUGGAAGAAUAACUAUUAUUUAGGUUUCCAAGUGUAAAAUUAUGAGUGCCUAGAUGUUGACAAGUUCAGAAAAGCUCAAGGUUUGUAAAAAAUUUUCAGCCUAGUAAAAUUCUAUGGUGUGGCAGAAUCUUACUUAUUUAUCUAUUUUCCCCGUGAUUAAUAGAAAUAGAAUUGUAACUGGGCAAUUGGCCAUUUAGUGAAAGGCUGCUUGUCUUGCCCUUGAAGGGACUGAUUGGGUCUGCACUUCCCCAGUACCUUUUCCGUUCUCUGGCUGGGAGAUAGGGAGGAGCGGAUCGCUUCCUUUGGAUCCAGUGAGGGGAACCUCAUGUUGAAGAUGGCAGAGUGAUACCACCGACCCUGCACUGCCGACUUCUGGACCAAGACAUGAAAAGGAAAUUAACUUUAUCUUUUGGAUUGUACUUUUGAGACUCAUUUUGCUGCAGUUGAGCUUGUAGCCCAGCUAACACACCUGACAGUGGGUGAAUAGCAGGCAUGGUUUAGUGCCUCACAAUGCACUGUUUUCAAGUCUUAUAUCCAUUAGGAGUUAGUCCUGACCCAACUGUGAUAGGCCAAUGGGCAGUGGUUGAAAUACCUCAUUGAUUAUAUACAACUUAG
rnacentral:lncRNA from 1 species